GUCGUGGUAGCCUAGCCUGGUCAAGGCGCAGGGUUGCUAACUCUGUGGCGUAAGCCUCCGGGGUUCAAAUCCCCGCCACGACG
rfam:Halodesulfurarchaeum formicicum strain HSR6 chromosome, complete genome.